UUUCAAUCUGCGUGUCCUGAUCGCAUCUGGUGUGGAUGGACAAAAUCAACAUGCCCGCGAUGGCGCACGCGGACGGACGCGGGCGCGGGUCUAGUCAGCAUGAGGAAGAAAGCAGGCAUGUCGGAGGGAGGUCUGAAAGGCUGAGGAAGAAAGCAGAGCGCGGAGCGACUGCGUGCAUGAGAAGUAGCUACACACCUGUAACUGUAAGCCAUGGACGAAGACGCAGCAACUUGGAGUGGGAAUGUGAGGGCUCUGUCAUUAGUCGCAGUGUAUUUGCUGGCUUGCAAGACUGAGAAGACCCCCAAAACAUCAGAUGAGCUUGCCCUAAUGCAGGCAGGGAUAAGGAAAAGAUAUCAAGCCUGUUAGAGAAGUACCCCAGAAUAGCCUCGAUCUCAGGCGGUUGGUUGUUCUACAAGUCAUCAGGGGGACCCGGCCAAAGACACCUUGCCCUUGUCCCACCGGAAUCCGAUGGCUACUCUGGGAGACUCCUGCGAUCGGCCUCAGGUGGUGGAAAGACCAUUCUCUACAUUGCACUGAUUCAAGAAGAAAUCGACACAAGUCCUCUCCCACCAGAUGCACCUGAGUUUGCUAGAAUGCCCGAGGCAAAUUGCCACAAGUGUGGUAAACUAAUGCCUGUACAGCUGCUGCCAGUCCUGUGGGUCUGCAGGUCACAGUACGGAGCCAGACAAGGAUCUCAGCAUUGCUGGAGUGGCAGAGAUGGAAUCUGAUGUAAUGGAUUGUAGAGUGGUACAGGCAUCGUGUCCGAUCUGUCUGAAAAUGUAUCCCAUCGCUAACCUUGAGGUUCAUGCCAGUUUUUGUGAGAGAACCGAAGUGCAAGAUGGACCCCAUGUGCAAGUGAUAUCAUGGUAAGAUAAUAAGAAAGCCAUAAAGGGACAAACAAGAAUUUUGAGACAUUUCCAGGAUGCAAUGGCUAGAAUGGGCACUCACCCACCAGAGAUGUAAUUACGGGAGAUAUUACCCUAAGUGCCAGAAGGUAUAUUGCACAGGAGGUGGGGAAUAUCUCCCAAUCACUAGAGGGUGAGUGGUGCAUUUGUCAUCUAUUACAACACACUGUCUGGCUUUUGCGAGGUUGUAAGCAGGAUAGUUUUAAUUUCAGUGUCGGUGACGUGUUGAGCUGCAUCAGUCAGCGAGUCAGUACAGACGGAGAGUUCCGGAUCAGCGUCAGCAGAGAGAACCUCCUUCAACGAGGGCUGAGUCAAUGGAAGAGGCAGAAAAAAAGUUUACGAGCUAGCAACUUGAAAGUCACCUACCUGACAGGACCUGGUGUAGACACCGGGGCUCUCAAA